rnacentral:rRNA from 1 species
GACGAACCGUGUGAACGUUAUUCGGAAUCAUUGGGCUUAAAGCGCGUGUAGGCGGGACGGCACGUCGGUCGCUGAAAUCCCCCGGCUCAACCGGGGAACGGGCGCCGAUACGACCGGCCUGGAGGGGCGUAGGGGGACCUGGAACUUCCGGUGGAGCGGUGAAAUGCGUUGAGAUCGGAAGGAACGCCCGUGGCGAAAGCGAGGUCCUGGACGCCUACUGACGCUGAGACGCGAAAGCCAGGGGAGCGAACGGG